ACACCGGCAGCUCAAGUGAUGGCCGAUAUUAUUGGGCCUAAAGCGUCCGUAGCCAGCUGAACAGGUCCGUUGGGAAAUCUGCUCGCUCAACGAGCAGGCGUCCGGCGGAAACCAGUCAGCUUGGGACCGAGAGGACCGAAGGGUACGUCUGGGGUAGGAGUGAAAUCCCGUAAUCCUGGACGGACCACCGAUGGCGAAAGCACUUCGGUAGAUCGGAUCCGACGGUGAGGGACGAAAGCUAGGGUCACGAACCGGAUUAGAUACCCGGGUAGUCCUAGCUGUAAACGAUGCUCGUUAGGUGUGGCGCAAACUACGAGUUUGUGCCGUGCCGCAGUGAAGACGAUAAACGAGCCGCCUGGGAAGUACGUCCGCAAGGAUGAA
rnacentral:rRNA from 2 species